rnacentral:rRNA from 1 species
UACGAAGGGGGCUAGCGUUGCUCGGAAUCACUGGGCGUAAAGCGCACGUAGGCGGACUCUUAAGUCGGGGGUGAAAUCCUGGAGCUCAACUCCAGAACUGCCUUCGAUACUGAGAGUCUUCGAGUUCGGGAGAGGUGAGUGGAACUGCGAGUGUAGAGGUGAAAUUCGUAGAUAUUCGCAAGAACACCAGUGGCGAAGGCGGCUCACUGGCCCGAUACUGACGCUGAGGCGCGAAAGCUAGGGGAGCAAACGGG